CCUACGGGAGGCAGCAGUAGGGAACCUUCCACAAUGGGCGAAAGCCUGAUGGAGCAACGCCGCGUGAGUGAUGAAGGCCUUCGGGUUGUAAAACUCUGUCAUUCGGGACGAACCGGAGUCUGAGGAAAUGCAGACUCUCUGACGGUACCGGAGGAGGAAGCCCCGGCUAACUACGUGCCAGCAGCCGCGGUAAUACGUAGGGGGCAAGCGUUGUCCGGAUUCACUGGGCGUAAAGCGCGCGCAGGCGGUGAUGUAAGUCUGAGGUGAAAACCCGAAGCUCAACUUCGGGACUGCCUUGGAUACUGCGUCACUUGAGGAUAGGAGAGGCAAGGGGAAUUCCACGUGUAGCGGUGAAAUGCGUAGAGAUGUGGAGGAACACCUGUGGCGAAGGCGCCUUGCUGGCCUAUUUCUGACGCUGAGGCGCGAAAGCGUGGGGAGCAAACAGGAUUAGAUACCCUGGUAGUCCACGCUGUAAACGAUGAGUGCUAGGUGUAGGUGGGCUCGAUACCCGAUCCUGUGCCGAAGCUAAACGCAUUAAGCACCNCCGCCGNGGNGUACGGUCGCGAGAGAGAACGUACGAAGUAGAGUUAGUACGGCGNGGAGACGNGCCGACGGACGACACGAGGGGAGGUUAGG
rnacentral:rRNA from 1 species